GAUGAACGCUGGCGGCGUGCCUAAUACAUCCAAGUCGAGCGAACAGAUGAGGAGCUUGCUCCUCUGACGUUAGCGGCGGACGGGUGAGUAACACGUGGAUAACCUACCUAUAAGACUGGGAUAACUUCGGGAAACCGGAGCUAAUACCGGAUAAUAUAUUGAACCGCAUGGUUCAAUAGUGAAAGACGGUUUUGCUGUCACUUAUAGAUGGAUCCGCGCCGUAUUAGCUAGUUGGUAAGGUAACGGCUUACCAAGGCAACGAUGCGUAGCCGACCUGAGAGGGUGAUCGGCCACACUGGAACUGAAACACGGUCCAGACUCCUACGGGAGGCAGCAGUAGGGAAUCGUACGCAAUGGGGGAAAGCCUGACGGAACAACGCCGCGUGAGUGAUGAAGGUCUUCGGAUCGUAAAACUCUGUUAUUAGGGAAGAACAAAUGUGUAAGUAACUAUGCACGUCUUGACGGUACCUAAUCAGAAAGCCACGGCUAACUACGUG
rnacentral:rRNA from 1 species